AUGGUUAUAUCAGAAAAAUAAUCAAAAUCAUGUAGUUUUUUCUCAAAGGAAAGUAAACACGUGUUUACCAAAGGAAAAAAACGCUUCUCUCAAAGGCAAUGGAAACUCAUCUCUAGCGUUUUUUUCAUCGUGAAUCAUCUCCAUCAACUGUUUGUGUACUAUCGUGAAUCCUCGCCAUCGCCGUCGACUGCUUUGUGUCACCGCCGGAAUCUCCCUUUCCUCCUCUCAGUCUCGUUUUCAUGUUUUGAUUUUUCAAACUAGGAAUAGAAAUCAAGAGAAAUUACGGCUUAGAGAAGAUCUGAAGGAAGCUGAGGUUAAUGUAGGCGAGGCGUUGUUGAUUUUUUCGAAAUUGGAUCAGUGCUCACCAGUUUAAAUGAAGACAAAUGCAGAUUUCUUCCUCGCUCACAAGAUGUUCGAUGAAAUGUCCCAACUGGAUUUUUCUUCUUUUUGCUUCACUUUUGAUUUUCUUAUGCUGUGAUGUUGUGUUGUUGGUGAUUCUAUUCAAAUCACAGAUUGUGAAUUGGUUAUGAUGUUGCCAUUAUUGCCAUCUUGGAUUCCAGGGAAACGACACCAAGAUGAGGGUCUACAGAUUGGUGAAUACGAGGAGACAAUUGGAACAUGUAUCGCAUUUGAAGAACAGGGUAAGUAACAUUUCAUGGAUGCAUAAUACUUUUGAAGAUAAAUAUUAUGUCUUGGAAAUUAUGUUAUAGAUACUCUGAUAGACUACACUUGAAUAAGGCACAUAAAAUAGCACCUAAACUUAAGUAUACAAUUCAUACUUACUUUGCUUCCUCUCAACUGUUUGCUCAACUCUGUAAGGUAUGUUUGCAAACCAAAAAUUGGGAUACUAUUUGGAAACCACUUUUUGAUGGAGGCAAUUAUCUUUAUUAUUAUUAUUCUUGUGCUCAUUAGGAGGAGGGAUAUGAGGAAAUUCGUGGUGAGAUUGAGAUGUUACGACUUACGACAGUGUAAUCAUCCUAAUGUUGUCCGAUAUCUUGGAAGCUAUCAAGGAGAGGAGUAUCUUUAGGUAAGAACUAAGACGAGUUUUCCUGAACUGAACUCAUUGUUUUUAUGUCUCUGCUUUUCUGAAACUCUAGAUUUAAUGGUUUUUGUUUUUGAUUUGUGAAUAACCACACAUUUACUUAUGUACAUUAGCAGUUGGAUGGGUAAUCUCCAAAUGCACAUGUUUAUCUUCAAGUUCUGAAGUUUCACGGAAUCAAGUAUUCAACAUAAAAGUUACAGUUAACAAGUUUAAAUGUCAAUUUUUUGUAUAACAAAUUUAGAAGUAGUAACAUUUUAAUAGAUUUUUAAAAUUUAGUCCAAAGUAGAAUAAUAGAUAUAAAAAGUAAGGGUUGGAAUUUGAAUGACUACCUAUAUUGUACUAGUGUAUAAAGAUGCAUUGAAUUAGUAGGUUCAAAUUUCAAAGUCAUUUAACCACCAUAGCAGGAAACUUCCUAGGACUUCCUGUUGUCACUUUUCUGGUAGUGUUAUAUUCUCUCUCAGUUACAUACUUACAUUAUUGAUUGGAUGCAUUUUAAUUGUAUUUUAUUUUAAUUUUAGUUGAAUUGAUUGGAUGCAUUUUAAUUUUAAUAUAUAUUCAAAUUAUUUCAAAUAAAGACAUUUCUAACUUUUGUGUACUAUGCUGUCUUGGUAAGUCUCAUAGUCUCCAUUUGGAUUAGAUUUUUAAAUAAGCUAUGCAAAUCAAAACAACAUUUACUAUAUUUCUUUUAUUGACUCUAGUAUUGUUCGUAUGACAUAUAUCUUUCACACAUUUUCAUUAUAUUUUGUAACUAGCCUACAUCCACAUAUAUAAUAUUUUAUUUAGUAAGUUAUUUAAUGUUUGAACAAAUGAAACUGAACAUAUGGUUCGUCACUAGUUAAAGAAGUGUCUUUAAUUCGCUCUCACUUUCCAUGUAUGCUUUUCUUUUGGGAUUAACUUGAGUUGGACAAUCUUGCUCCAAUUAAUACUAUAUAUGUAUGGAGUGCAGCUUAAGGCACAUAUAUGGACUAAUUUUGUUAUAUUGGCUUGUGGGCAUCCCAUUUUUUUAAUAGUAGCCGGAACUAUGGCCGGUUCUCUCUUUCUGGUUGCGGCUCUCGCUACUGUACAAAGAUGCAACAAUAAAUCAUCUACCAUUAUUCCUUAGAAAAAAUCUGCCGGCCUGAAAGAGCCUGAAACAUCACACUGAAUCCUGAAUAUGUUAAAGGACGUGAGAAGAUAUAGCGGACAAGAGCUUGAAGAGGCAUGCAGAGACUUCAGUAACAUAAUUGGGUCCUCAUCCAAUUAGAUGGAUAAGGUUUUGCAUUCCUUUGAGUUCUUACAAGCUAUGAUGCCAAAACCGUCCAAGAAAAAGAAUAUAUCUACUCAACAUGAAGUCACUCAACCUUUGAAUCUUGAUUUGUACUUUUUUUUCUUUGACUUGUUGACAAAUGAUUAGUAAUAGCUUGGUUUUUUU